UGGGGAUCUCCGCAAUGGACGAAAGUCUGACGGAGCAACGCCGCGUGAGUGAUGACGGCUUCGGGUUGUAAAGCUCUGUUAAUCGGGACGAAAGGCCUUCUUGCGAAUAGUUAGAAGGAUUGACGGUACCGGAAUAGAAAGCCACGGCUAACUACGUGCCAGCAGCCGCGGUAAUACGUAGGUGGCAAGCGUUGUCCGGAAUUAUUGGGCGUAAAGCGCGCGCAGGCGGAUUGGUCAGUCUGUCUUAAAAGUUCGGGGCUUAACCCCGUGAUGGGAUGGAAACUGCCAAUCUAGAGUAUCGGAGAGGAAAGUGGAAUUCCUAGUGUAGCGGUGAAAUGCGUAGAUAUUAGGAAGAACACCAGUGGCGAAGGCGACUUUCUGGACGAAAACUGACGCUGAGGCGCGAAAGCCAGGGGAGCGAACGGGAUUAGAUACCCCGGUAGUCCUGGCCGUAAACGAUGGGUACUAGGUGUAGGAGGUAUCGACCCCUUCUGUGCCGGAGUUAACGCAAUAAGUACCCCGCCUGGGGAGUACGACCGCAAGGUUG
rnacentral:rRNA from 1 species